rnacentral:snRNA from 1 species
AAAACUUUUUCGAAAAAAAAAUCUGUUCUUAUCAGUUUAAUAUCUGAUACGUCCCCCAUCCGGGGACUACAUAUUAAAUGGAUUUUUAGAUCACGGAGCUGGAGCCGGGGCUUGCUCCGUCCACUCCAUGCAUCGGCCUGGUAUUGCAGUGUCUCCAGGAACGGUGUGCUUUCC